UUUAAAUUGAGAGUUUGAUCCUGGCUCAGGAUGAACGCUGGCGGCGUGCUUAACACAUGCAAGUCG
rnacentral:rRNA from 1 species